rnacentral:rRNA from 1 species
UACAGAGGUCUCAAGCGUUGUUCGGAUUCAUUGGGCGUAAAGGGUGCGUAGGCGGGUUGGUAAGUCCGUGGUGAAAUCCCCAAGCUUAACUUGGGAACUGCCGUGGAUACUAUCAAUCUUGAAUACCGUGGAGGUCAGCGGAAUAUGUCAUGUAGCGGUGAAAUGCUUAGAUAUGACAUAGAACACCAAUUGCGAAGGCAGCUGGCUACACGAAUAUUGACACUGAUGCACGAAAGCGUGGGGAUCAAACAGG